UUGCACGCUGGCGGCAUGCCUUACACAUGCAAGUCGAACGGCAGCACGGGUGCUUGCCCCUGGUGGCGAGUGGCGAACGGGUGAGUAAUACAUCGGAACAUGUCCUGUAGUGGGGGAUAGCCCGGCGAAAGCCGGAUUAAUACCGCAUACGAUCCACGGAUGAAAGCGGGGGACCUUCGGGCCUCGCGCUAUAGGGUUGGCCGAUGGCUGAUUAGCUAGUUGGUGGGGUAAAGGCCUACCAAGGCGACGAUCAGUAGCUGGUCUGAGAGGACGACCAGCCACACUGGGACUGAGACACGGCCCAGACUCCUACGGGAGGCAGCAGUGGGGAAUUUUGGACAAUGGGCGAAAGCCUGAUCCAGCAAUGCCGCGUGUGUGAAGAAGGCCUUCGGGUUGUAAAGCACUUUUGUCCGGAAAGAAAUCCUUGACUCUAAUACAGUCGGGGGAUGACGGUACCGGAAGAAUAAGCACCGGCUAACUACGUG
rnacentral:rRNA from 1 species